rnacentral:rRNA from 1 species
UACGGGGGGAGCAAGCGUUGUUCGGAUUUACUGGGCGUAAAGGGCGCGUAGGCGGUCGUGACAAGUCACUUGUGAAAUCUCCGGGCUUAACUCGGAACGGUCAAGUGAUACUGUCGGACUAGAGUACAGAAGGGGCAACUGGAAUUCUCGGUGUAGCGGUGAAAUGCGUAGAUAUCGAGAGGAACACCUGCGGCGAAGGCGGGUUGCUGGGCUGAUACUGACGCUGAGGCGCGAAAGCCAGGGGAGCGAAACGGG